UUAUAUUUCCUUGCUUUGAGAGUUGCCAUGCUUGAAAAUAUAUAUCAAUUAAUUACAUGUGUAUUAGCUUAGGAUUUAUUUCAUAUUUUUAUUAAAAUCUCAUGUCAUAUCAUUUAUGAUGUUUGUGGGUAACAUCCUUGAAAACCCUCACGAGACAACACUCGUCCACUAGGGUAACUUAGGGGUUUAACGGCUUGUUGCACGUGCUAAGUGCAAUCGUGAUUCCUACGAAAGUGAGUACAUAUCUUAGUUUUAUGUCUUUAGCUUCAAUAAAAAGUCAAAGGUUAAACCACACCUUUUGUACUCUCAUUUUAUUAUUUGCUCGUUAAUUGCUAGAGACUAGCAAUAAGCUAGUUGGGGGGU
rnacentral:lncRNA from 1 species